UUUGUAUCUGGGGGAGGCAGACGGCAGCUCACAGGUAGAAGAUGGAGGGAGGACGUCUUGAGUGUGGUUAGGUGUGAAGGAGACAGGUCAGAUGGGCUGGGGCUAAAUGUGGGUUUGGAUGCAGAGAUUCUAGUCAUGAACUGCCUCUUAUUCUAGGCGGGGGAUUUCGGAAAACCUGAGUCCAGCAGGUUCAAUAAACACAUCCAGAGCCAGUGAAACCUGCUGUACCCAUGGAUUUUAACUUCAGAGAAUGGUAACUUGAGAUUUAAGGAGAGUUCUUCAUAGGAUGGAAAGGCUGGGAGCAACAUCACCCCAACGUCCCUGAGGAAAGACAGGUGUUUCCAAGGAAAGGCAUGAGCUUUUAAAGAAUAGCAGAUCAGCUUCAACUCCCAUAAGUAAAAGGACUUAAGUUCUGAGAAGGUGGGGGAUCAGGGGCGGCCAGUUCCAGGCUCAGUGGAGGUAGCAGGUGUUUCUGCUCAGCCUCGGUGGAUCUUCUGCAUCGGCUUGGUCUUGUGACCCCAUACCCCCACUUUGUGGCACCUCCUGUCCUGGCUCUGACCCAUUGCCUAGCCCCCAUCUGGGCUCUGAUCCAUCCCAGGUCUCUCCCAGCAUGGACACGUGAAAGCGAGUGGUGCCCACUUGCAGCUCUGAGGUUCCCGGA
rnacentral:lncRNA from 10 species